ACUCCUACGGGAGGCAGCAGUGGGGAAUAUGAUCAAUGGCGGCAGCCAUGACUGCAGCCAUGCCGCGUGUGUGAAGAAGGCCAUUCGGGGCUUGGUUAAAGACACUUUUCAGUCAGUGAAGGGAGGUAGUUGUAUUACUAGCUGCAUUAUUUGACGUUAGCGAANAGAAGAAGCACCCGGCUUAACUCCCGUGCCAGCGCCGCGUAAUACGGAGGGGUGCAGCGUUAAUCGGAAUUACUGGGCGUAAAGCGCAGCAGGUGGUUUUGUUAAGUCAGAUGUGAAAGCCCCGGGGGCUCAAACCUGCGGAUUGCAUUUUGAACAUGGCAAGGCUAGAGU
rnacentral:rRNA from 1 species